rnacentral:tRNA from 1 species
UGGGGUUUAGUUUAACCAUAAACCAGGAGCCUUCAAAACUCCAAAUGGGAAAUAAAUUUUCCCAACCCUUC